UUUCCGCUCCCGGGAUUGGAAUGACUCCUUACCCUCUCCCUUAAAACCCACAUCCUUUCGUCUUUCCCUCUCCUUCCCCUCUUUCCUGAUGAGGCAACAGUUUGUUGCGAAAGCUUGAAUUUUGUGUUUGUGUGUCUAUCGACCUGCCAGCGCUUUCGUUCGUAGCUCGUCGGGUAACAUCUGGUUCCAGAAGUCGCCUGUAAAUGCAAAUACAGACUGUGUAUACAUAAGAAGUGCAGAUCACCUGAUCUCUGGAGCUGCAUAUGCUGCACUACCACAGAAGGUUCGGCUGAGUACUCGUCGGUUAUUCUCAUCUGUGCAGCACCGAGCGAAACCAAAGUCUGUGAGUUUUACACACUCGUUAGAUGCGAGUAGAAUGUUCUCACACUUGACAUCACGAUGGCUGAUGUCCUGGGAGUGGAGGUAGUCCACUGCAGAAACAAUCUGGCUGUACACAACAGCAGUCUAGUCAAUAACUUUCCAACAAGAAGUUAAAAGAACUCAUCAUACUUAAAAAUUAUGCAUGAUAAUAAAAGUAAAAUAAGGUGUUUAAUGAUUGUUCCACAAAUCUCACAACUGUUUAACGAAUUUAAUUUAACUCCACUUACAAAACACUUAACGUGGUUAUUAUGGAUA